rnacentral:rRNA from 1 species
UACGAAGGGGGCUAGCGUUGCUCGGAAUGACUGGGCGUAAAGGGCGCGUAGGCGGAUGGCACAGUCAGAUGUGAAAGCCCCGGGCUUAACCUGGGAACUGCAUUUGAUACUACUGAGCUUGAGUACGGGAGAGGAUAGUGGAAUUCCCAGUGUAGAGGUGAAAUUCGUAGAUAUUGGGAAGAACACCGGUGGCGAAGGCGGCUAUCUGGACCGUAACUGACGCUGAGGCGCGAAAGCGUGGGGAGCAAACAGG